CCUACGGGUGGCAGCAGUGAGGAAUAUUGGUCAAUGGGCGAGAGCCUGAACCAGCCAAGUCGCGUGAGGGAGUACUGCCCUAUGGGUUGUAAACCUCUUUUGUCGGGGAGCAAAAGCCGGACGUGUCCGGCUGUGAGAGUACCCGAAGAAAAAGCAUCGGCUAACUCCGUGCCAGCAGCCGCGGUAAUACGGAGGAUGCGAGCGUUGUCCGGAUUUAUUGGGUUUAAAGGGUGCGCAGGCGGAUUUUUAAGUCAGCGGUAAAAUCGUGGGGCUCAACCCCAUCCAGCCGUUGAAACUGGGGAUCUAGAGUGUGCGAGAGGUAUGCGGAAUGCGUGGUGUAGCGGUGAAAUGCAUAGAUAUCACGCAGAACCCCGAUUGCGAAGGCAGCAUACCGGUGCACAACUGACGCUCAGGCACGAAAGCGUGGGUAUCGAACAGGAUUAGAUACCCGGGUAGUC
rnacentral:rRNA from 1 species